UACGAAGGGGGCUAGCGUUGCUCGGAAUCACUGGGCGUAAAGCGCACGUAGGCGGCUUUCUAAGUCAGGGGUGAAAUCCUGGAGCUCAACUCCAGAACUGCCUUUGAUACUGGGAAGCUUGAGUCCGGGAGAGGUGAGUGGAACUGCGAGUGUAGAGGUGAAAUUCGUAGAUAUUCGCAAGAACACCAGUGGCGAAGGCGACUCUUUGGCCUGUAACUGACGCUGAGGCGCGAAAGCGUGGGGAGCAAACAGG
rnacentral:rRNA from 1 species